UACGUAGGGGGCAAGCGUUGUCCGGAAUCAUUGGGCGUAAAGAGCGUGUAGGCGGCUCGAUAAGUCCGCUCUGAAAGCCCGGGGCUCAACCCCGGGAGGCGGGCGGAUACUGUCGAGCUAGAGUCCGGAAGAGGCGAGUGGAAUUCCUGGUGUAGCGGUGAAAUGCGCAGAUAUCAGGAGGAGCACCAAUGGCGAAGGCAGCUCGCUGGGACGGUACUGACGCUGAGACGCGAAAGCGUGGGGAGCAAACAGG
rnacentral:rRNA from 1 species